AGUCCGAGCGGGUCCGCUGUGGA
rnacentral:piRNA from 1 species